rnacentral:rRNA from 1 species
UACGAAGGUGGCAAGCGUUGUUCGGAUUUACUGGGCGUACAGGGAGCGUAGGCGGUUGGAUAAGCCCUCCGUGAAAUCUCCAGGCUUAACCUGGAAAGUGCAGAGGGGACUGUUCAGCUAGAGGAUGGGAGAGGAGCGCGGAAUUCCCGGUGUAGCGGUGAAAUGCGCAGAUAUCGGGAGGAACACCAAUGGCGAAGGCAGCUCGCUGGGACGGUACUGACGCUGAGACGCGAAAGCGUGGGGAGCAAACAGGG